GACAGAAAGUGCAGGCGUUAUUCGGAUUGACUGGGCGUUAAGGGUAUGUAGGCCGCUGAAUGUAACAAGGAGGGAAAAGCUCAGGAAUCAGCUGAGAAGUCUUCCUGAAGAUUAUUAAGCUAGAGUUUAGGCGGGGUUGGGAGAAUUAGUAAAGUAACGGAGUAAAAUCCUACGAUAUUACUAGGAAGACCAAUGGCGAAAGCACCUUUCUAGCCUAAACUGACGCUGAGGUACGAAAGGUUGGGGAUCAAAGCGG
rnacentral:misc_RNA from 1 species